AUAUACAUUCCUAUAACAUAAUGUUAAUGUCGUGGAUCCCAUUAGAGCUCCACAGUUAAGCACUCUUGUGCUAGAGAAGUACUGGGAUGGAUGACUCCCCAGGAUGUCCUAGUAUUUUAUAUA
rfam:Picea glauca, whole genome shotgun sequence.